rnacentral:lncRNA from 1 species
CCUUAUUGAAGUCACUCAAAAUAAUAUUUAACAAAGUACGCAGUAGCAUGACAAUCCGCUAAAAGUAUACUCAGCCCGCCAAAUUUAGCCAACAGCUUUCCUUUUGGAAGCCGCACGUUGGUCUAUACACGAAUAACAACUUCCUUGUGUUCGAUAUAUAAAAUAAUUGUGUGACGAAAAUUUUCCCGGGAUGUGGUGUAUCACAAUAUUAGCCCUAUACAACCAAAACUGGUUACGUAUCUAUCGCGUUAGAAUCAGACUUUAUGUCGCUUAUGGCGUGUUUCCAGUACAUGAUGUCAAAAGAAAUGGCGCAAUUGAGCGAAGUUUGUCAAUAUUGUCCACCUUAAAGUCUACAUUAAACACGACGGGCUCUUGCCAGAACCUAAUGGCUGCAAGCCAAGACAGAUGUUCUAUAUAACCUAUGUCGACUUACUCGUGUGCCUGAAUAUAAACCUAAAUCCUGACCUUCAGCAGUUUGAACGGUCAAGGUGUCUGCUUGACGUCAAAUAGCAAUUUUCGUAGUUCGAUCGAAUGACGUCGUGUCCGCCAAAUAACAGAAGCUCCCAACGACCGAUUAGAUGGAUGCUCGACGACAGUGAAAGCCUUUAUUUUAUAUACAUACACUUUAAAGCAACGAUCGAAACGAAUGUUGAGACAUCGAUCAAUAUAGAUAGAAAACAAACUAUAGGUCUAAAUGGUGUAACAUAAACUGAAGUCUGUGGCAAGAUAGAUGAUCGUUACGUAUCUAGAAACUGCAAAGUAUCUAUCUAUAAAUAUUUCUUGACUCUUGUUUACAUUUCAAAUACGCCAGUCUUGGUUAAGCUAUGCUUUUUUGUAGGACAUUUUCAAGUUAAUAUCGCUUACCAAACGAGCCUGACUUCGCGAAACAUCGCUUAUUAGACCGCUGCAUUUAUUGGUUCUUUCCGUACGUUCCGUAACGACAUAGGUUACAUUAAUUACAGACGGUUCAGCUGAAGCGAACGUUUUUUCCUUAAAUCGAUGAUAUAGAAUCAAGUAGGGUCUACGGAACUGCAGCGCAAAUAGUAGAAGUGUUUUCAACUAAGCCUGCCUUCAAAAUAUCUGUGAUAAAAUAUAUAGUAUUUCGCAUGUAUUACUUCAGAUUCCCCGAACAGUCAGUACCAAUUUAACCGACAAGUUGCCUCAUCGCGAUCUCCCGGAACACGAUCCUGCAUAUUCCUAGAAGAGACAGCAUGUGCCUCAGAUUACAUGAGUUGGGUAGGAUAGCACACUUUGUGAAUAUUUAGGAAGACGUAUUCGGAGUGAACUAUGCGAUAGGAAUUGAGAAUUCAUUUGGCCCGUAUAGACUUCUUCAAAACGUCUAUGGUUGAAUGUAAAAGUAAAAGUAUUACUCAAACACUUAUAGAAAAAAACGUACACCGCCGCGGACGAACAGCGAAGAAAAUGUAUAGAACAGAGAGCUCAAACAAUAUAAUUCAGAACUGUCCAUGAACCUUAUAAUGUAUGAAUUUUUCUAACUGGAAUUGUACCAAAAUCGUAUCACGGAGCUACUGCUCAUAUUGCAAUUUCAAUAUUGCAGCUAUUUAGAACUGUUUCUAUAUAAUAAUUGUCCUUAUGCCAAGAGGUAUUAUCUAAUACAUCUCGGUAUGUUUGUUAUUAUAGCAUAACCUUGGCUGAGUAAAGUCGUUCAAAAAUACAGAUUAACACAGCAGAUCCUCAGUAAUUUACUAAAUUAUAGAAAUACACUAUUUUCCGGAUACCUGAGUUUUGAUUUAUAUAUAUAUAUAUAUAUAUAAACACUUUAAUGAGUUCUCAACACAAAAGAGGUGCUAGUUACAAACACCGACAAAAUAAAGGUUACGUUUCGCAACA